AGCCUGGCUCCACCUCUCCUAGACCCAUUUAAGAGCUGACUGUCAGUGGGGAAGGAUCUCUCUGGAGAUCUGCUCUAUUGGAGUUCAUCUCGUGAGUCCAGGAUAGGCUGGCCCAUGUUUACCUUUCAUCCCCUAAUUCAGAAUGCCUCUUCUGAUGAAGGCUGUGCUUGCUGACUCAGCAUGACUCUUGAGUGGCUCCUGAUGUACCAGUGAAGAGAUCAUGUUUUCCUUCUGCCCAAAUACAGUAAGAGCAACGUGGGUCUGCCUACGGAGCAGGCCUUUCUGUGACAGGAGUGCAAUGGUAUGAGCAGCAGGCAGGCAUGCUGUGCUUAUACGGGAAUCAUACCCUUCAUGGCACAUAAAAUAAACCAGAACUAUUGAGGUCUGCAGCUGAGUAGGAAAAAACAAAUGUGUAUGGAAACUGCUGAAUCAUGGCCUGAACCUCUGACUGACCACCUGAGGCAAGCAAUGAGUCUGCCUUGGGAGCAGAGGUGAAGGCAAUUUUCCAGUGCUACUGGAAGAGGUGGAGCCCUGUUCCACCUCUCCUAGAUCCAUUUAAGAGCUGACUACCACUAGGGAAGUACCUCUUUUUGGAGAUUGCUCCUCUUGGAGUCUUCUCAGUGAGCUCACAGCCAAGGGUAAGCUUUCCAUCUGUUCUUCUUUAGUAUGAUAUCCUGUUUAGCCUAACUUUCCGGUAUUUUUCUUAAUUAUAACAUCCAUAUAUCCAUUGAUUACACACAAGUGUAACCUGGCAGCCUCUUCUGCUGAAGUGGAUGAGGUAUUUUUAUAGCCAGUGACUGUUCAAUGCAGACCUGCUGAUAAGCUAGGCUUUGUUGAAGAAACUUGGUAAGAAAAUUUCUUCCACCUGAUGGCCAACAGGCCCUGCCCACUGUUCUCUACCUCCCAGCACUCAGUGUCACACAGGGCUGUUUUAGGGAGGAGAACACUGUGUUGUCUCUGCAAAGCUGUCUUUUAUGAAGAUAGAACUUUUGGGAUACUUUGCUGGUUUAGACAGUAGCAACCUGAAUCUCCAUCUGUUGUACUGACAGAAAUUUGUGUGAAGAAACAGCACAUCUUUGGUUUAUUUGGACUGGAUGAUCUUGUAGGUCUCCUCCAACCUUUGUGAUUCUAUGAUCUAUAUACAGGGCCCAAGAAAACUGGUCAGUAUUCAAGGACCAUGUCCUCCGAACCUAGGAGCGGUGCAACCUAAGAAAGAGGAAGACAGACAAAAAUGCCAGGAGGCCUCCAUGGAUGAACAAGUAUCUCCUGGACUUACUGAAGUCCAAAAAGAAAAUCUCUAGGGAGAGAAAGCAAGAAUGAGUUAAGUGGGAGGAAUGCAAAGAGGCUGUCCAAGCAGCCAGGGACCAAGUUAGGAAAGCUAAAGCCUAGGUGGAAUUAAAUCUAGACAGGGACAUAAAGGGGAAAAAGAAGAAUAUCUACAAGUAUAUCAGUGAUAAAAAGAAAGCUAGGGAAGAUGCAGGCCCUCUGCAGUGGGGAAUUGGAGACCUGGUCACUUGGGAUGCAGAGAAAGCUGCAUCGAUGACUUCUUUGCCUCAGUCUUUGCCAGCAAGGGCUCCUGUCAUACCACCCAUAUUGCAGACGGAAAAGAUAAGAAAUAGGAGAAGGAAGAUCUGUAAGUGCUGUAAGUGAAGAUCAGGUUGAAGAUCAUAUAAAGAACCUGAAGAUGCACAAGUCCAUGGGACACACUGAGAUCUAUCCACGGGUUCUGAUGAAACUGGCAGAUGAAGUUGCCAAGCUGCUAUCUGUCAUAUUUGAAAGGCUGUAGUAGUCUGGUGGAGUUCCCAUUGACAGGAAAAGGGGAAACAUAACCCCUAUUUACAAGAAAGGAAGAAAAGGGUAUUUAGAGAACUACAGGCCAGCCAAUCUCACUGCUGUUCCUGGCAAGAUCAUGGUGCAGAUCAUCCAAAAGGCUCUACUAAAGCACAUGGAAAAUAAAAAUGAGGUGAUUGGUGGUAACCAACGUGGUUUCACCAAGGCAAGUCAUACCUGACAAACUUGAUGACCUUUUAUGAUAUCUACACAUCAGUAGAGAAAGGAAAAGCAAUUGACAGUAUUAAUCUGGACUUCUGCAAAGCAUUUGAAACUGUCCCACAUAACAUCAUAUGGUUCAUCAUUCAGAAUGUGCAUGUGCAAGGUUG